rnacentral:rRNA from 1 species
AUUGAACGCUGGCGGCAGGCCUAACACAUGCAAGUCGAACGGUAACAGGAAGAAGCUUGCUUCUUUGCUGACGAGUGGCGGACGGGUGAGUAAUGUCUGGGAAACUGCCUGAUGGCGGGGGAUAACUACUGGAAACGGUAGCUAAUACCGCAUAACGUCGCAAGACCAAAGAGGGGGACCUUCGGGCCUCUUGCCAUCGGAUGUGCCCAGAUGGGAUUAGCUAGUAGGUGGGGUAACGGCUCACCUAGGCGACGAUCCCUAGCUGGUCUGAGAGGAUGACCAGCCACACUGGAACUGAGACACGGUCCAGACUCCUACGGGAGGCAGCAGUGGGGAAUAUUGCACAAUGGGCGCAAGCCUGAUGCAGCCAUGCCGCGUGUAUGAAGAAGGCCUUCGGGUUGUAAAGUACUUUCAGCGGGGAGGAAGGGAGUAAAGUUAAUACCUUUGCGCAUUGACGUUACCCGCAGAAGAAGCACCGGCUAACUCCGUG